AAAAAUGUAGUUUACUUAAAACCUUGCUUUGAUAGGGCAAAGAUACAACAAACGUUGUCAUUUUUA
rnacentral:tRNA from 1 species